rnacentral:lncRNA from 1 species
AAUCCUAUGAGGAAGAAAUCCCCAAUAAAGAUAGGAAGUGCCGUAUGACACGUUAAACAGCGGCGGAUCCGGUUGACACUUUCCCAUCCACCAAUUAACCGGCUCUUCAUAAUCAUUAACACGAUUAAUAGAGCUUCGGUUUUUUGGUCGGGAUCGUGCUUCAUCUUGUUCCGCUGUGUGUGUGAUUUGUCACGGGUCUCCUGAGGUUUCUUCUGUUUCACUUUACAACAAAAUGUUUUUUACUUAGAUUAAGAUAUGUUUUCUGUUAGGUUCGAUGCCACGUCAACGGUAGCCAAAAGUGCAUUGACCGACCGAUGAUGCUAUGAUUGAACCGAUAAUAAACUUUUGUGUGUUUCGCAUGUUAUAGGAACCUGUGAACGAUUGUUCCUUCGUUUACAGAGCCGUUUAUUGCGAUUAUAUAA